CGGCGAUGGCGGCUUGCGGGGCAACGCAGGAUUCCAAGACCGUCGAUCUGGAGGAUGGAUGGGACUUUAUCCGGAGGGGCAUCAACAAGCACAUCAACGUCCUCGAGGGCAAGCCAGAGCGGAGUACAACUCCGAGGACCACAUAAGGCUGUACGCGUAAGUCGCGUUCAUCCCCGCCUCCCUCCGUCCAUGCCUAGCAUAUGCCCGAUUAGAUCCGAUCUGAUAUGCAUGCAGAAGCAUCCGCGCGACGACUCGCAGCAGCUCUACCACAAGUCCACAAGUACCAGGACUCCUUUGAGGAGUAAAUCUCGGCCACGACUUGCAGGUUGGUGAUUAUUGGCUUUGCUGCAUUGGUUGGUUUAAAAUUCAGUUAAAGAAGGUGACUUUGCCCUCCAAGUUUUCGUCUAUGGGACUGUGCUGUUGUCGUUGCGGCUGUGAAUACAGAUGAAAGAAUCAACACUAAGUGGUGGGCUACUUAUGAAGAAGCAAAGACUAUAAUGCGGGAGUUCAGUUCGUGCAGGUGAGUAAAAUUGGAAGAGAGUGCAACGUGGCCGCACAUGAGAUAGCAGCUCAUGCUAGAGCUCAUGGAGAUUUUUAUAUACUGCAGAAUGUGCCACUGAAUGUCCUACAUGUAAUUGAG